rfam:Dichomitus squalens LYAD-421 SS1 unplaced genomic scaffold DICSQscaffold_2, whole genome shotgun sequence.
CCUUCGAUAGCUCAGUUGGAAGAGCGUGAGACUGUAACUGGAAAACUUGGGCAUCUCAAGGUCACUGGUUCGAUCCCGGUUCGAAGGA